rnacentral:rRNA from 1 species
UACAGAGGGGGCAAGCGUUGUUCGGAAUUACUGGGCGUAAAGGGCGCGUAGGCGGCCCGCUAAGUCGAACGUGAAAUCCCCGGGCUCAACCCGGGAACUGCGUCCGAUACCGGCAGGCUUGAAUCCGGGAGAGGGAUGCGGAAUUCCAGGUGUAGCGGUGAAAUGCGUAGAUAUUAGGAGGAACACCGAUGGCGAAGGCAGGUCUCUGGGCCGAUACUGACGCUGAGGAGCGAAAGCGUGGGGAGCGAACAGG